AAAUGAGGAAGAAAUCCUCCGCUUCACUCAAGAAGAAAUGUUCCAAGCACUCCUCUAAGUCUAAGGAAGCCAUGAGUCAGCAAAUUGAUGAAGUUGUGUCUGGGAGUGCUCUUUUCCCUUCAUUCGAAUUUGAAUUGGCAAAAGGUAGAGCAAUUCAGGUUGAGGACAAUAUGAUUGAAUGCAAACCAUCAAUGGAUGUAAAGCGCCCAUGCAAUUAGGAUUCUGAUGUCAUUAUACAGGUGAACUUUAAAGGAACUUUUAUCUGCUUUUGAAUUCUUAUUAUUCUUAAGACUUGCACAUCUUUUAAGCAUUUUUCUAAUU